UACGGAGGGUGCAAGCGUUAUCCGGAUUCACUGGGUUUAAAGGGUGCGUAGGUGGGUUGGUAAGUCAGUGGUGAAAUCUCCAGGCUUAACUUGGAAACUGCCAUUGAUACUAUCAAUCUUGAAUACCGUGGAGGUCAGCGGAAUAUGUCAUGUAGCGGUGAAAUGCUUAGAUAUGACAUAGAACAUCGAUUGCGAAGGCAGCUCGCUACGCUAUUAUUGACACUGAGGCACGAAAGCGUGGGGAUCAAACAGG
rnacentral:rRNA from 1 species